rnacentral:rRNA from 1 species
GAUGAACGCUGGCGGCGUGCCUAAUACAUGCAAGUAGAACGCUGAAGGAGGAGCUUGCUCUUCUGGAUGAGUUGCGAACGGGUGAGUAACGCGUAGGUAACCUGCCUGGUAGCGGGGGAUAACUAUUGGAAACGAUAGCUAAUACCGCAUGACAACAGUUAUUGCAUGAUAACUGUUUAAAAGGGGCAACUGCUCCACUACCAGAUGGACCUGCGUUGUAUUAGCUAGUUGGUGAGGUAACGGCUCACCAAGGCGACGAUACAUAGCCGACCUGCGAGGGGGAUCGGCCACACUGGGACUGAGACACGGCCCAGAGUCCUACGGGAGGCAGCAGUAGGGAAUCUGCGGCAAUGGACGGAAGUCUGACCGAGCAACGCCGCGUGAGUGAAGAAGGUUUUCGGAUCGUAAAGCUCUGUUGUAAGAGAAGAACGAGUGUGAGAGUGGAAAGUUCACACUGUGACGGUAUCUUACCAGAAAGGGACGGCUAACUACGUG